UACGAAGGGGGCUAGCGUUGCUCGGAAUCACUGGGCGUAAAGCGCACGUAGGCGGAUUGUUAAGUCAGGGGUGAAAUCCUGGAGCUCAACUCCAGAACUGCCUUUGAUACUGGAGAUCUCGAGUCCGGGAGAGGUGAGUGGAACUGCGAGUGUAGAGGUGAAAUUCGUAGAUAUUCGCAAGAACACCAGUGGCGAAGGCGGCUCACUGGCCCGGUACUGACGCUGAGGUGCGAAAGCGUGGGGAGCAAACAGG
rnacentral:rRNA from 1 species